GCGACCUCUUUUGCGCCGCCGAUCUUCAGAGCGCCGCCGGCUCUUCCUCCCGCUCCUCCUCGCCGCCCCCCUCUCUUCCGGUAUCCCUAGUUCACUCGUCGGCAUCACCUCUGCAACCUCGACCCUCUCUUUCCACGGACAUACAGGUCAGGGGCCAGCAAUCUCUCCACCCACACCAGCGUUCAGGGCGUUCCCGCGGUGGCUAGAGACGAACUCCUCUCCUUCGUGAAGGUCCCGCUUAUUUGUGCAGCCUGCAGAAUUCUAGUUCACGCAAGGAUACAUCCUCAGGUUAGAUCACCGUUUGCCUUCCAUACUAUAUGCAUACAGAUAAGGUGUUUGAUAGUUUUACAUAGAUAAAAUGUGUUUCUGUUUCCGGUUAACUGCUACAACAUGGCAUGAGGUUGGGCUUAAACUUUUGUUAGACUGCUAUUUUUCUGAAGUUUUUUACUGAGCGAAAUUUUAAAUGAUGUCACGAGGUACCAAACCUCCAUCAGAUUUAUUCCCCGCUCGUGAACUCUGACUAUGCUAUAUGUAUUGCAGGCUGUGUUGGAAUUUUUUGAUUUAAUUUGAUUGUGCAUCAAUUAUUAGCUGAUGAUGAUGUACAUCAGUGCUUGGCAAGGUUUGUCACUCUCCCGCAAGUGAGAUUCUAUUAGAUGUAGAUGGACAUGCUUCGCCCCUCUGUAUUAGUUAAGAUCUAUAACUAUUACCAUAAAUUUGGAUCAUGUUUGCAUAUUGUUUAUUAAUUUUUUUUUCCUGUAGAUAUGAGCUGUGCAAAAAACAAGCUAAAAUAUCGAAGUGAAGAGAUGGUGUUCCUUUGUUAUGGAUACUGCCUCUAAUAGUAAAAUACUUCGGUGCUGCUGUGUUAAUGCUUGGUCGUUGAGCGUGGGAAUAUAUCUACGCAAUUCCAUAUACUUUUGGUAUAAUCCAUUUUUUUUGUUUAGCCAGUGCAGGAUAUGUUGAUGGUUCGAUAGGAGCCUUUUUAAACUUUUCUCUAUUUGAGGAGAGAACAAAAAUUUACAAGGUAGCAAACCACAGUUCUCAGGAGUCACUAGUUUCCAGAAAAUGAUGUAAUGUAUGUUCAAAACAAUAUUUACUCUUCAAAUGUAUAUACUCAUAUAGUACUACAUAGUAAAUUUCUCUUAUUGGUGUGCCUAUCCAAAAGUGAGACUUACUAAUGAAGUGUUCUAGUUAAUCUACUGGUACUUUGAUUUCACUUUCUGUACAGGGCAACCAUUUCAGAUGCUUUUUGAAGUUGGACAACAAAAAUAUCCUUUCGGCGGUUUUAGGGGAAGCCUUCUUUGUGCCGUGAAAUUCAGUCACUUUUACCAUAAUAUUGUUCAUCAGUUUGCGCCGACAUAUCAUGAAUAUGUGCUCUACAGCAAAGAGGGAGAGGAUGAACCGACAAAAUAUAGCCCUGGCAGUAUCGUGCCAUCUGGACUGGACAUGCAGCUAGUUGAAAUAUCUGUUAUGGAUGUGAAAGUUCCAGUUUCAUCAAGUUUAUUAUCUUCUGAUGCCAAACCAUGCCCUCUCAAGUCGUGGAUGGAUAUCUAAGGAGAAGUUAACAUGGUGGCUUGCAAGCUCAUGUACUAUUAACUGUAUACAAGAUCUUAUAGGUAGAUAGAUGCCAACUAGGUGGACACAAUGCAUUCAGGAUUUAAAUGAAUUUUAUCCAGUCGAGUCUGAUCUUCCCUUUGUAAUAGAUCUACAGUUUGGCUGUAAAAUACAUUUGAUCUUAACAAAUAAAGAUCUUUUUUUUCUAA